GCUCCUCUGUGCAUGUAGUAAAUUACAGAGGUUAGAAGAAUACCAGAAGAAAAUGUUUUAUUAAAAAAAUGUACUUACCUAAAGGAUGGGUGAUGGACAUUAAUGUUGUGAAAGCAUUAGCAAAGGAAGACAAACUGAAGGUGGAUCUUUGUUUGUGACACAUAAAGAGGGUAAAAGGGAGGAAACAGACAUUUAACACUUCUCCAAAAUCAACUCUGAUCCCUGCUGGUCUGCUUAUCUGCACUGGAGACGUACAGAUGGGUGAGUCUGAAGGGAGUGCAGAUCCUGUGUGGUGGAGUCGUCAAGCUGAUGUUAACCAGGUGCACACUUGCUCUGCUGCAGCAGUCUGGAAGAAAAAGAUACUUUUCAGAUUUGGGCUCCACCUUGUCCCGCAAACCAGCUUAGUUGACCUUGACAGAGUUCCAGUCGAAAAACGUGCUCAGUGGUAUCUGCAGACUGAAGUGUUAGGUUAUCUCCUGCUCCUCCUACACCGCUGCUCCUAGUCUCCGCAUGGAUACUCCUCCAUGAGGUCACUGCAUUUAUCCACCGUCUAAUCCCUGAGAUGAGAAAGUCGCCCUAAGGUCAACGCAGCCUUCCUCCCGUUUAGCAGUUUGGAGUGUGUUGUGACGUCUCUGAGCUGUCUCUUCAUCUCUGGAUCGCCAACUGAAGCCUUCACACUAAACCCUCACCUCUAGUGUUGGGCAGGACUUUACAGAACAGUAAACACAGAACACACAACUCUAAUAUGAUGGCUGAACUCAAGAGCUAAAGGAAGGCAUAAAAAAAUCAUGCUUUAAAUGUGUGAUAUUGUAAUCACUGUGGUGGAAAAGUGACCGUCCUUCCUUCUUUAUUCACACAUACUCGCCAAUAAUUUAACCAUUAGUCUUGAUUGGCUGACGUCCCACACCACCGGCUGUGCUCUCACUCGAGCCAACUAUCUUGACGGCUAUGGAAUACUGAUGCUCAGUUGUGGGGCCCUGUGUGGGCAAAACAGUUCCCUCCUCAAAGGCCAAAGCUUUUUUUCAGUCCCUGUUGUUUUGCCUUAAUUUAAAAUUAUAGUAAACAGAGUCAAAUAAAUAAGCAGUGAAAGUCGAUGAGUGGUUUUUGUGCCAUGUUGGCUGUUUAACAGCAAUUUUACUGCAUUCAUAUAAUUUAGUAAAAUGUUUUUUUCUUUUUUUUUAAACCAAAAAGGGAGAGCAGCCAUUAGCACAGUACAAACCAUUUGUCACCUUCACAUUUUUCAUAUUUUUUAGA